ACGUAGGUGGCAAGCGUUGUCCGGAAUUAUUGGGCGUAAAGCGCGCGCAGGUGGUUAUAUAAGUCUGAUUUUAAAGUUCGGGGCUCAACCCCGUGAUGGAUUGGAAACUGUAUAACUUGAGUACAGUAGAGGUAAGCGGAAUUCCCAGUGUGGCGGUGAAAUGCGUAGAUAUUGGGAGGAACGCCAGUGGCGAAGGCGGCUUACUGGGCUGUAACUGACAUUGAGUCGCGAGAGCCAGGGGAACACACGG
rnacentral:rRNA from 1 species